UAAUUAGAUAAGAGGGGAAAAGCCCUCUUACUCUCUCCCAGUACCAGAUUGGGGGAGGGACCAGGGAAAAGCAGGCACAUGCACAAUAGAAGUUAAAAUGUCCCAGGGGAGAUGCUGGACCAAAGAGACCUGUCAGUCUAGCCUGGGGAAAAGAAGGGAUUGGUUGGGGAUAGGGAUCCCUGGAGUGUGCAGAAGUUUAGGGAGUUAAUUGGGCAUAUUUUUUAGGAGGCACCUGGCCCUUUCCACACUCAAACCUAUAUAUAAACCCAAGGGAAGGAAAAGAUGCUUUCUUACCCAUCCUGCAAAUGUGUUGGCUGGUGCAUUUACAGGACCUUCUGACCCUGGAAGCCACAGUAGCCAAUGGCAGCACCAGCCUCACAAGUCAGUUUCAGGAGGGACCUGAGGCCUGACAGUGGCUUGAAGAAAAGCUGAGCUGCCUGGAUGACC